GUGGGGAAUCUUGCGCAAUGGGCGAAAGCCUGACGCAGCCAUGCCGCGUGAAUGAUGAAGGUCUUAGGAUUGUAAAAUUCUUUCACCGGGGACGAUAAUGACGGUACCCGGAGAAGAAGCCCCGGCUAACUUCGUGCCAGCAGCCGCGGUAAUACGAAGGGGGCUAGCGUUGCUCGGAAUUACUGGGCGUAAAGGGCGCGUAGGCGGACAGUUUAGUCAGAGGUGAAAGCCCAGGGCUCAACCUUGGAAUUGCCUUUGAUACUGGCUGUCUUGAGUACGGGAGAGGUGAGUGGAACUCCGAGUGUAGAGGUGGAAUUCGUAGAUAUUCGGAAGAACACCAGUGGCGAAGGCGACUCACUGGCCCGUUACUGACGCUGAGGCGCGAAAGCGUGGGGAGCAAACAGGAUUAGAUACCCUAGUAGUCC
rnacentral:rRNA from 1 species